AUGCAAGUCGAGGGGCAGCGGGGAAAAGCUUGCUUUUCCGCCGGCGACCGGCGCACGGGUGCGCACCGCGUAUGGAACCUGCCUUGUACAGGGGAAUAGCCCAGGGAAACUUGGAUUAAUGCCCCGUAGUACCGUAUUUCGGCAUCGUUAUACGGUUAAAGCCUUCGGGCGGUACAAGAUGGCCAUGCGUCCCAUUAGCUUGUUGGUAAGGUAACGGCUUACCAAGGCUACGAUGGGUAGGGGCCCUGAGAGGGGGAUCCCCCACACUGGUACUGAGACACGGACCAGACUCCUACGGGAGGCAGCAGUGAGGAAUAUUGGACAAUGGAGGAGACUCUGAUCCAGCCAUGCCGCGUGCAGGAAGAAUGCCCUAUGGGUAGUAAACUGCUUUAUACGGGAAGAAAAAGAGCUACGUGUAGCUUACUGACGGUACCGUAAGAAUAAGGACCGGCUAACUCCGUGCCAGCAGCCGCGGUAAUACGGAGGGUCCGAGCGUUAUCCGGAAUUAUUGGGUUUAAGG
rnacentral:rRNA from 1 species